AGCUUUGCGCAGUGGCAGUAUCAUAGCCAAUGAGGUUUAUCCGGGGUGCGAUUAUUGCUAAUUGAAAACUUUUCCCACUAGUCUAAAAUGCUUUUUAUCAUAAGUUUCCAUUAGAAUUUUCUGUAAUGGAAUGAAACAUCUUAAAUAUAUAGAAAUCCA
rnacentral:snRNA from 1 species